rnacentral:rRNA from 1 species
CCCUUAGAUGUCCUGGGCCGCACGCGCGCUACACUGAGUGUCUGAGAUACGAGUCUGCCUGGUCCGGCAAGGUCUAGGUAAUCGCUAAAAGACACAUCAUGCUUGGGAUAGAUUAUUGCAAAUAUUAAUCUUGAACGAGGAAUUCCUAGUAAGCGCAAGUCAACAGCUUGCGUUGAUUACGUCCCUGCCCUUUGUACACACCGCCCGUCGCUACUACUGAUUGGAUGUUUAAGCGAGGUUCUCGAACUGCUAGCGACUUAGCUUCGGUGAGGUCGCAGUGUGGGAAGUGAACCUAGCUUUGGUGUCUAGAGGAAGUAAAAGACGUAACA